rnacentral:rRNA from 1 species
AGUACCGUCGUCCACCUACACGUAGAUGUUAUUCUUCCUUCAGAAAAGCAGUUUACAACCCAUAGGGCCGUCGUCCUGCACGCGGGAUGGCUGGUUCAGACUUCCGUCC